AUGGUAGAGCCACAAUGGCUUGGAGAGUAUGCCUUUUGUUCACUAAACAAAAGGUCUCGGGUUGGCCGACCAAGAUAUUUGAGAUUAUUUUUCAGUCUGGUAUAUCUUGUCAAUGGGACAUUACAAAGGGACGUUACGUGUAUUCAAUUGGCAGUACGAUAAAGACCCAAUGGCUGUAAAAACGAGAAAGCAGAACAAACCGUUGCGCUGCUAUCGGGGAAAAAUUCCCUCAUAGCAGACUGCACGGCGAAUUUCAUUUUUCAUUAGCCCAGCUGCUGCAGAAAAGUAGGAUAAUAAACCACAUUGUACUUCCCUUAAUAAAUGACACGUGACAUCAGGUGUUCUAGAAAGUAAACAUACCAAGAAUUAAUCAUUCAUUCUGCCGUAUUCCCAAAGCUGAAAUGAUGAAUUGAUUAGACCUUCAUUUUUUUCUGUAUUAAAAGAGCUAACAAAAUAUGUGAGAAAAUCCUAGUUUAAUUGCUACUAGCGUAAUCUGACAUCAAAUUGAAGUAUGCAAAUGUGCCGGAAAUCAUGUCCGAGUGUAAGGAGUCCAUUCAUUGGUUGUAAUACGUGGAUGUGAAAGACUGUAUGUGACUUCUGGCGUUGAAGAGCUGUUGUUAGUCUGCUUGAGGUUCAUGAUUAUGGAAAAUCCGCCGGCUUGUCUUCGAUAACAAUAUUCCGCUUGUGCAAUACGUAUUAAAAAGACCCUUCAUUCUCACGUUUCGCGUUAAAUAGCUGAGUUUGAGGAAAUUUGACGACGGGAAAAUAAAGGAAAAGCAUGAAUUUAACUACCCAUGACCAAAACCCUAGACACGUACAAGAAACUAAUAGCCUUUAUAUGCUGGUAGAAAUUCACCCAGUCUGAAUAGUCGCUAGAAAACAUUGGAUAGAUAUGAUGCUACUCUCAACGGAUUUUAUUCAACGUGAAUUAACUAUGAAUUCUUCUUGAUUACGUUUUAAAAUUUAAAUUUAAGAUGUGUUUUCAAACGUGACUUGGCGAUGUCUAAGAGAUGUUUUAUUCUUUGAUGUCUAAGGGUAGAGAAUUCCAGAGAAAAUGCGCUGCAAAGUGAAAAGAUCGUUUCGUCUGUUGAAGUUUGACAGCAGGAAUAAUGGCUUGUUCUGUGAUUUUUAGGUCCUACUGGAUUCAUACGGUGGAAGCGGGUUUUCGACCUUAUAAGUGGCAAGUUUGUAAGUGUUAAGAUUGUAUAAUCUUGCGAAUUUUUUUUAAGCAUUGAAUUAGAUUUUUAUUAUAAAUUUCGGGACAUAAUUUAAACAUUGAAUUAGAUUUUUAUUAUAAAUUUCGGGACAUAAUGGGGUGUAACAUUUUCCUUAUAAUUUAGUUUUUAAUUUUGAAUUACGAUGCGUCAAGGGAUGUAACAUUUUAAAUGUAUAGCAAAGUUUAAUUUAUAAUGCAUCGAAGUGAUAACCAAACAUUUAGCAGAUGUGGGUUCUGUAUAGCUUCUAAUGUAUUUUAAAAUGAUGGCUUGUAAAUACAUGCAUAAUAAAUAAUCUUUGUAUGGCAAUUAAAAGUAAGAUUUUAAACAACACCUUCAGGACAGGAUGCUGUGUAAUAUUUUUGUAUAUGAUGGUGCAUAAUAUUUUGGUAUAUGAUGGGGCGUAAUAUUUGAAUGUCCUUCGUGAAAUGACACAGAUUGUAACUUAGGAAGUGUAGUAAUAUUUUAAGUGUAUUUCAUAUUAAUUUUAUGAUAAUUUUGUAUAUUUAUAUCGCAAUAAUCCAUCCACCAUUACAUGCACAGGGCGCCAAACAUGUAUAAUAAUAUGUUUUUGUUUAAUAAAUAUAUUAUCUGUU